AUUUGUAUAGUUUAAAGAAAACCUUACAUUUUCAUUGUAAAAUUGGAAAUUCCUACAAAUA
rnacentral:tRNA from 1 species